rnacentral:tRNA from 1 species
UCUCUCGUAGCUUAAUGGUCACAGCACUAGUGCGUAAAGCCAAAGGUCUUGGGUUCGAUUCCCGGCGAGGGUG